rnacentral:rRNA from 1 species
GUCCACGCCCUAAACGAUGUCGACUGGUUGUUGGGGUUUGACACUCUCAGUAACGAAGCUAACGCGUGAAGUCGACCGCCUGGGGAGUACGGCAGCAAGGUUAAAACUCAAAGGAAUUGACGGGGACCAGCACAAGCGGUGGAUUAUGUGGAUUAAUUCGAUGCAACGCGAAAACCUUACCUACCCUUGACAUGUCCUGGAGCCUGGUGAAAGCCGGGUGUGCCCGAAAGGGAACGGGAACACAGGUGCUGCAUGGCUGUCGU